rnacentral:tRNA from 1 species
GCCCGGUUAGCUCAAUCGGUAGAGCGUGAGACUCUUAGCUUCACGUUCCCCUAGAACGAUUGGCGAUCUCAAGGUUGCGGGUUCGACCCCCGCAUCGGGCU